rnacentral:rRNA from 1 species
UAUCCGGUCAACAUUCCGGAACUACCUACUCCACGUUAUUACGAUGGGGGGACGCAGGAGGCUAGGCGAGCCUACGAUUGGACGUGUAGGUUUAGGCAUGUAGGGGGAUCUGCCAGGUAAAUCCGGUGGAUCACAUUCCCUGAGGUGCCAUAUCGAGGGUCUUUGACCCGCAAAGUCGCUGACGCCACGCUGCCGAGAAAAGCCUCUAAGGAGUGGAGUGGGUACCCGUACCGUAAACCGACACAGGUAGGUGAGGAGAAAAUCCUCAGGCGCGAGUGAGAACCCUCGUUUAGGAACUCGGCAAACUAGCCCCGUAACUUCGGAAUAAGGGGUGCUCGAUUAAGGUGCACUGUCCUCGCGAUUGUGUGCGUGAACGAGUUGCAAUAAAGAGGCCCAGGCGACUGUUUACUAAAAACACAGGACUCUGCGAAGUCGAACACGACGUAUAGGGUCUGACGCCUGCCCGGUGCCGGAAGGUUAAAGGGAGAGGUCAGCCGCAAGGCGAAGCUUCGAGCUGAAGCCCCGGUAAACGGCGGCCGUAACUAUAACGGUCCUAAGGUAGCGAAAUUCCUUGUCGGGUAAGUUCCGGCCUGCACGAAUGGCGUAACGAUCUGGGCGCUGUCUCAACGAGGGGCACUGCGAAUUUGUGGUACCGGUGAAGACGCCGGUUGCCCGUGACUAGACGAAAAGACCCCGUGCACCUUUACUACAUCUUAGUAGUGAAUGCUGGCGUGUUAUGCGCAGGAUAGGUGGGAGGCUUUGAUCUCGGGUUCUCGGACUCGGGUGAGCCAACGGUGAGAUACCACCCUUAACACUCCGGCGUUCUAACCUCGACCUGUCAUCCAGGUCAGGGACACUGCUAGGUGGGUAGUUUGACUGGGGCGGUCGCCUCCUAAACUGUAACGGAGGCGCGCGAAGGUUCGCUCAGGCUGUUUGGAAAUCAGCCGGAGAGUGCAAAAGCAUAAGCGAGCUUGACUGCGAGUCAUACAAGACGAGCAGGUGGGAAACCAGGCUUUAGUGAUCCGGUGGUUCCGCGUGGAAGGGCCAUCGCUCAACGGAUAAAAGGUACGCCCGGGAUAACAGGCUGAUCCUAGCCAAGAGUUCACAUCGACGCUAGGGUUUGGCACCUCGAUGUCGGCUCAUCGCAUCCUGGAGCUGUAGCAGGUUCCAAGGGUCCGGCUGUUCGCCGGUUAAAGCGGUACGUGAGCUGGGUUUAGAACGUCGCGAGACAGUUCGGUCUCUAUCUGUCAUGGGCGGAGGAAAUUUGAGUGGGGCUGUCCUUAGUACGAGAGGACCGGGAUGGACGCACCUCUAGUGUACGAGUUGUCGUGCCAACGGCAGCGCUCGGUAGCUACGUGCGGAAGGGAGAAACGCUGAAUGCAUCUAAGCGUGAAACCCUCCACAAGAUGAGAUUUCCCAGGCCGUAAGGCCUCUAAAGGCUCCUGGAAGAUUACCAGGUGAUAGGUCGGGUGUGGAAGCACAGCGAUGUGUGAAGCUAACCGAUACUAAUCAGCCGUGAGGCUUGACC